rnacentral:rRNA from 1 species
GAUGAACGCUGGCGGCGUGCCUAAUACAUGCAAGUCGAGCGAACAGACGAGGAGCUUGCUCCUCUGACGUUAUCGGCGGACGGGUGAGUAACACGUGGAUAACCUACCUAUAAGACUGGGAUAACUUCGGGAAACCGGAGCUAAUACCGGAUAAUAUAUUGAACCGCAUGGUUCAAUAGUGAAAGACGGUUUUGCUGUCACUUAUAGAUGGAUCCGCGCCGCAUUAGCUAGUUGGUAAGGUAACGGCUUACCAAGGCAACGAUGCGUAGCCGACCUGAGAGGGUGAUCGGCCACACUGGAACUGAGACACGGUCCAGACUCCUACGGGAGGCAGCAGUAGGGAAUCUUCCGCAAUGGGCGAAAGCUUGACGGAGCAACGCCGCGUGAGUGAUGAAGAUCUUCGGAUCGUAAAACUCUGUUAUUAGGGAAGAACAAAUGUGUAAGUAACUAUGCACGUCUUGACGGUACCUAAUCAGAAAGCCACGGCUAACUACGUG